rnacentral:rRNA from 1 species
AUUGAACGCUGGCGGCAGGCCUAACACGUGCAAGUCGGACGGUAGCACAGAGAGCUUGCUCUCGGGUGACGAGUGGCGGACGGGUGAGUAAUGUCUGGGGAUCUGCCCGAUAGAGGGGGAUAACCACUGGAAACGGUGGCUAAUACCGCAUAACGUCGCAAGACCAAAGAGGGGGACCUUCGGGCCUCUCACUAUCGGAUGAACCCAGAUGGGAUUAGCUAGUAGGCGGGGUAAUGGCCCACCUAGGCGACGAUCCCUAGCUGGUCUGAGAGGAUGACCAGCCACACUGGAACUGAGACACGGUCCAGACUCCUACGGGAGGCAGCAGUGGGGAAUAUUGCACAAUGGGCGCAAGCCUGAUGCAGCCAUGCCGCGUGUAUGAAGAAGGCCUUCGGGUUGUAAAGUACUUUCAGCGGGGAGGAAGGCGGUGCGGUUAAUAACCGUGCCGAUUGACGUUACCCGCAGAAGAAGCACCGGCUAACUCCGUGCCAGCCGCCGCCGUAA